UAUGGGAAACAAAAAUCCUAAUACGUUAAUUGGAUUUUUAAUAGGUGCUGUGGUUCCACCGAUGCCAUGCAGCUCACCUAACAGUUAUUGAAAACAUGCACUCCGAUGCAUGGACAACUCUUUCCCAGAUAUUUCUCUAAGCAUAUUAUAGCAACAUGGUCUCUAAGUUAUGUGGGUUUACCUAACAGUUAUUGACCAUACUCAUUAGUUAAAUCUGACCC
rnacentral:lncRNA from 1 species